rnacentral:rRNA from 1 species
UACGUAGGGUGCGAGCGUUAAUCGGAAUUACUGGGCGUAAAGCGUGCGCAGGCGGUUGUGUAAGACAGAUGUGAAAAUCCCCGGGCUCAACCCUGGGAACUGCAUUUGUGACUGCACGGCUGGAGUGCGGCAGAGGGGGAUGGAAUUCCGCGUGUAGCAGUGAAAUGCGUAGAUAUGCGGAGGAACACCGAUGGCGAAGGCAAUCCCCUGGGCCUGCACUGACGCUCAUGCACGAAAGCGUGGGGAGCAAACAGG